rnacentral:lncRNA from 1 species
UAUUGUGCUUAUUUUGGCUCAUUUGUGUUUUGACUGUUUUCCAGAAACUGUUCAGACAAUAACAGAAGAGUGGGAUGAUGAAGAAGAGAGUCUGAAUGAAGAGUCCAUUGAGGCCAGUGGAUCCAGCUCCUCUGUGAGUCGUAUGACAAGUCAAGAAGAUUAUGGUAUGUACUUGGAAACAGAAUGAUUGUUUUUUCAUUUCAGGAAGUUUCCAACAUUUCAGGGUAUUUUGAAAAUGUUGUAUUUCCUCUAGACUCAUCGGUGCCACCGAGCCAAUUCAGUGCAGAUGUUUCAGAAUCAAGUUCAUCUUCAGAACUUUUGCUGCAGCCUUCUGACUCAGACUCAUCAGUGCGACCCCAGCGCUGUUCCACCCCAAGACGAUCAUCAGCUUUUAAACCUUCAUCUUCAUCAUCAGACAGCAGAGUCUCACAAAGAUCAACCAGUUCAGCAGAAAAGAAGCCUAAAACAACUCAUUCAGACCCGGCACCAAGUUCCCAAACAAAAAAAUGGAGUGACAAGGAAGUUGCUGCUGUGGAGUCGCAAAUGGGAAGGUUCAUCACAAAGGGCACAACCCCCGGAAAGGAACAAUGUGAGGAGUGCAUCAGAAGGAGUCCUGAAGCGCUCAAGAACAGGGACUGGAGGGCAGUUAAGUACUAUGUCCGGAAUAGGAUUGUGUCUCUCACAAGGAAAACAUGAGGACAUGUUUUGUCAGGGGGGGGUGGGGGGUGGCAGGACAUCUUUUUGUUGUCGGGGGAUAAGGGGGGGGGGGGGGGGGGGGGGGGGGGGGGGGGGGGGGUGGCAGGACAUGUUUUCGUUGUCAGUACUCAUCUGCUCUCCAGUCCCCAUGUUUUUGUUGUCGGGGUUGGGGGCAGGACAUGUUUUUGUUGUCAGGGAAGGGGGGAGGGGGGUGGCAGGACAUGUUUUUGUUGUCGGGGGGGGGGGGUUUGGCAACAUUGCAUUUUAAUUUUGUAAUAGUCAGUUGACUUGAAAUUACUGUACUGUACUGCAAGUUAUUGCACUCUUCACCGAGCCAAGUCAGUGCAGAUGUUUCAGGUAAUGAAACAAUUUAUAUUUUUUUGUCUCAUGUUUCAAAUAAUAACUGCAUGCAUUUAUAUGUAAUUGGGGGUGAGUGAUUUCAGGAUAAGGAAAAUAUUCAAAAAAAAGUGUGUUCUCUAAUUUUCUACCGCCUAACCAAAAGUAUUUUUAAUGCAAGGUUAGUCAACCUCUUAAAGAAUGGUGGGAAGCAAUUUCUUUUGCUUAUGACAUUUGCUUCUGACAUUUGUUUUAGUACGGUAUUUAAUAUGUGGGGGGCACUGAUCUCAAAAAGAAACUGGAUAGCGCUUCGCAUGGUUUCAAAGUGAGGCCACAUGCAAAUCGUGGCGGCCAUUUUGUUGGGACUACUUUCCUGCCUGAGACCAAUGAUUAUGACGGGCGAUUAAUAUUAUAUAAAAGAUAUUUAAUGAAUUUGCAUAUUAAGCCUUAUAGUAAUUUCAAGUUUUCAUAAACCUUGUUAUAGAGCUUGUGUUUGCUUGAAUAAAAAUAUUGAAACUUGUUCCUCUAUCGUAUUUUAUUAGUGUUGAUGAUUAGAACCUGGCCCAUUGGUAGCUUUCAAUAACUUUAUUUCAAUAACUGUAUUUAUAAUCACAAGUUUAAUGGAUAUUUGCAAGCCAGAACAUGAAAAUACACACUGUCGGAAUUUAUUUGUUAUUUGUUUAUUUGUGUAGAGUGGAACAAAUAAAUUCCCACAGUGUGUAUUUUCAUGUUAUAAUAUGCAAAUUCAUUAAAUAUCUUAUAUAUAAUAUUCAUCGCCCGUCAUAAUCAUUGGUCUCAAGCAGGAAAGUGGUCCCAACAAAAUGGCCGCCACGAUUUGCGUGUGGCCUCACUCUGAAACUGUCAGAAACCAUGGGAUGUGCUAUCCAGUUUCUUUUUGAGAUCAGUGGUGGGGGUGGCAGGACAUGUUUUUGUUGUCGGGGGAGGGGGGGGGGGGGUUAUAGCAUUUUAUUUUCAUUUUAAGUCAGUUGACUUGAAAUUACUGUACUGUAAUUAAUGCACUCUUCAAUCUUUAUUUUGAACAGAAAAAGUGUAAUAAAAAUACAGUUUACAAAGCACAACAAUAUAAUGUCUUUAGUGGUAGUACUAACCUGGUCUUGACCAGCCCCUCGUUCUACACUAUCGUUUCGUACAAGGAUACAAGGAUACAAGGAUGUUUAUUUGUCACAUGCAUAUGAUUACUAAUGUAAAGAAUGCAGUGAAAUUGUCAGUUCCUGUCAGAGUACAGUACAGAGGGACUGGACAUUCAGGUAUUGAGAAACGAUUGUUUACUGGAGGUGUUUACAUUCAAAAAGACUGGAUCAGCCCUUGACUGAUAGCCUGUAGUAUUCUUGCGCUGCCUCACUCCGUUAGCUGACUGGCCAGGUCAUGAAUUCUCCUGGAGUAAUCCAGGUCAAUGGCUGAAAUCCCAGACGUAGCUACGAAGGGAGAAGAUAAUCGAGCGGAAUUGCGUAGGAAGGCUUUGGCCAGGCUAUGGUAGUACAGAAAUUAAGGUGAGAUAACAGUUACAUGGUCAGAAAACUGUUUAACUACAGAUGAGGGUGGAUAAUAUUCAUAAUCCACUUUGGUCUCCACUUGGUUUUAUACACACACUUGUUUGCCCCGCCUUGAGGGGCGGCGACAAGAGGUCCUAACAUGCUGUCAAAAAGUGAGGUUUGGUUUACAUGAGUGUUUCCACAGUUUCAAGUGCACAUGAUCAAACUGAUUUUUUUCUGAACCUAGUGAUGUCACUUUUACCCCUCUAUGUUGACAGAAAAGCAGGGUCCUCAGAAUGAUUGGCCCUACCUGGAGUCCUAAAAAGGUCACAAAUGCAAGACUGUGUGUGUGUGUGUGUGUGUGUGUGUGUGUGUGUGUGUGUGUGUGUGUGUGUGUGUGUGUGUGUGUGUGUGUGUGUGUGUGUGUGUGUGUGUGUGUGUGUGUGUGUGUCAAUUUACGCAACCCCGGGUUGCCCCACGAGGACUUGGCAGCAAAUGAAGUACAAAAAUAUAGUUUAAACAGGUAAACUAAUGUUUAAUUUAAAUCAAAUCAAUUGUGCUGUUUUGCCUGCAUGCUCUACCUAAUUUAACAGCUAUGUUCAACAUGUAUUAUAUAUUUGUAUACUAUAUUUAAGCAGUAAAUGUAAGUAGUACAUUUCCCAGCCACCCCAACACUGCCAAUAUUUAAUAGGAUUUAGAUAUAUUAGAAGGCUACACCUAGGCAAAAUGCAUUAUAUAUAUAUAUAUAUAUAUAUAUAUAUACAUAUGUCUUCAAAAUAGCGCUUACUGAAUAUUCGGGGAACAUUUUCCUCCAUGUUAGCAAAUCGAAAAAAUGCAGAGGCCCGGCAGACUGGAGGGGGUCCACCACCUGCAGCCCUCUCAGAG